rnacentral:misc_RNA from 1 species
GUAGGUGAACCUGCGGAAGGAUCAUUAUUGAAUAUGCUUGAUAGGUUGUAGCUGGCUCUUCGGAGUAUGUGCACGCUUAUCUUGACUUAAUUCAUCCACCUGUGCACCUUUUGUAGUCUUGGGGGUUGAGAUCGGUCGACUAUCGGAUGGCCAAGGUCAUUCCGGAUGUGAGGAAUGCUGAGUGCGAAAGCAUACAGCUCUUCUCAAAUGACUUGUCUUCCUCGAGUACUAUGUAUUCAUAUACCACAUA